UACGUAGGCAGCAAGCGUUGUCCGGAAUUACUGGGCGUAAAGGGUGCGUAGGCGGUUCGUUAAGUCUGUCGUGAAAUCCCCGGGCUCAACCUGGGAAUGGCGAUGGAUACUGGCGAGCUAGAGUGUGUCAGAGGAUGGUGGAAUUCCCGGUGUAGCGGUGAAAUGCGUAGAGAUCGGGAGGAACAUCAGUGGCGAAGGCGGCCAUCUGGGACAACACUGACGCUGAAGCACGAAAGCGUGGGGAGCAAACAGG
rnacentral:rRNA from 1 species